CAGCCGCCGCGGUAAAACCAGCACCUCAAGUGGUCAGGAUGAUUAUUGGGCCUAAAGCAUCCGUAGCUCGUUUUGUAAGUUUUCGGUUAAAUCCAUACGCUUAACGUAUGGGCUGCCGGGAAUACUGCAUAACUAGGAAGUGGGAGAGGUAGACGGUACUCGGUAGGAAGGGGUAAAAUCCUUUGAUCUAUUGAUGACCACCUGUGGCGAAGGCGGUCUACCAGAACACGUUCGACGGUGAGGGAUGAAAGCUGGGGGAGCAAACCGGAUUAGAUACCCGGGUAGUCCCAGCUGUAAACUAUGCAAACUCAGUGAUGCAUUGGCUUGUGGCCAAUGCAGUGCUGCAGGGAAGCCGUUAAGUUCGCCGCCCGGGAAGUACGUACGCAAGUAUGAAACUUAAAGGAAUUGGCGGGGGAGCAC
rnacentral:rRNA from 2 species